CAGCUGUCCUCCCCAAAGCAAACAUGGGGCAAGGUGCGACUCCCGUGACUCUGUCGGAAAAAGACCCCAAACUGCUUAAAACUAGUGCAGCGUCGGUCUCUUUACCGAACCAUUCGUAUUGGUACGACGUCUGGAUGUUCGUGCUCUUUGACAUCGCGUUUUUCCUCGUAAUGUAUUACAUAGUCCCAUAGAAAGAAUUGCACCAGCCAGGAGCACCAAGAGGUCAGUGAGCCAGACGGGCAGAGAGGGGAAACAAGCCACUGAUGUGUCUGCUGGACCUGUGGUGGCCAUCGACAUGAAGAGGACGCCUGACUGGACGGAGCACAUGUCUAUGAUCUCUAUUGUGGCCGGAUCAAAAGGACUUUUUGGGGAGAGCCGUUUUGCUUUGGUUGCACUCACUCUUAGAGAUGCUGUGAUGUCAUACUAUGAGCGUCUUCAGCUGCAAUAAAGUGUUUGGAUCCCCAUUUGUGAGUGACUUGUGUGAAUCAAGAUGGUUAACAGUUAUGACGCUCAACAGUCUUCCUAAUUAGACCGCUGUGUCAGAAAUGACCUCAAUUCUAGGUUUAGUUUUUACAGAUGAAACCUGGAGGAGAAAACACUGGUGAGAAAAGAAUACUUUCAAUGCAUUUAUAAUCUGUAUACUAGUAAUGA